GUGGAGUGGAGCGGAGCCCUAUGGAGCUGUGGGGCAGUCAGCUUCAGAUCAUGGAGUAGGCUGGCUGGACAACCCCUUGAAAAUCCUGCAGAGGGAAUGGAAUAGCCUUUGAAAAAGUCCUCUGUGCUGGCCUCUAACCCCAUCUCAAGAAGACCUGCCACGAGGAUACCCAAUAUUAUGUAUUCUGAGCAUGAAGCAGGGAAGAGUAAACUGCCAGCAGGAGCAGUUAGUCACAUCAAGCAUCUUUUGAAUGUCCAUGAAGAGACCGCUUUAACUGAGUUUUAGGUAAAGAUGCAAUGAAGCAUUGUAAUGGAUACAACCUAUCCUGAAGGAUGACCCAACACUCUCACAAAUCUUGGGAGACAGGCCAGUCCUUGCCUACAGACAGCCCCCCAACCUGAAGCAAAUACUCACCAGCAACCA